UGUGGUCAAAUGUAAGAGCAAGCACCUGAAGUGAGGGUGCUGCUGGUGUGUGUUGGACCAUUAACUAGCUCUUCAUUUUCACUGACUGUGUGUUUCUUUUCUAUCUCAAGUAGCAAUAGGAAGCUGUUUUUAACUUGUCGUAGUGACAGCCAAGUAUGCGUAGCUAGACGUUGAACAUACUUAAAUUUGUAAGGUGUGUCUUCCUAUGAAAAUAGUUUCCUAAAAAGUAUAGUUUUAAAAUUUAUAUGUGUUUGUUUAAUUUUAAGCCAGUCAGUAAACUGAUAAAACUCUUUAUUGCCUUAAUUCCUGUAGGGGUCAAUACUAUUAGUGGUAAUGCUGAGGUUUGCUCAUAAACUCUGAGACUGCAACUGCAGUCUGGGCAGCAAAAGUAGUGUUCCCUUAUACGUUAUAGGUGGGGGUAAUACCAUGGUCUACUGUUAAGUUUGCCUGACAGUUUCUCAGACUAAUGAAUUUUGCUGAAGCUUUUGUAUGAUGAGUCACCUUUAACCGUAGGAUGUCAGGGGAAAUUUAGUCCAAACACUUGAGUUGUUUUCAGGAGCACAAGAAGGAGAAAUUGUAUUGCUUUAUCCAUAUGCAGAUUUAUAUGUUAGAGGUUAUGUUACAUGAGAGAGGGUAAUUUGAGAAAGGAUUGAAAGCUUUAACUACUCUACUAGCAUCACACAGUGUAGAAGCUCAAUUGCAGAGAGGAGUGGCUUGCCUCUUGUGCAGCUCUUACCCCUUUACUCAGAUUGUGCCUGCUUUUUGGCCUGACUUUAUCAGCACUGUUCAGAGGCUGCAGUAUGUAAUCAUAGGAAACUAUUAUAUAAAUGAUGUAAAAUUAAGCCCUCAGAAAUCUGGAAAUUAUAGCUGCAAAGCAUGCCAUCUCAAUUCAACUUCAUUCUUUGUAGACAUCAUGUCUUAGUCUUUAUAUAUGUUCAGUGUCUCCCCUGUGUCUCAUUCAGAGUGCAGAACAAAUUUCCUCCAUGGUAAAUUUUGGUCUGGCAUGUGGGGUGUGUGGUUUUUCAUUCUGUUUGCUUCAUUUUUGUGUUGUCUGUCACGUGGCUUCUCUAUGUCUUUAAAUAGAUGAGGAGUGGGACUGCAGGAAGAGAAAGUAUUAGACUUUAACCUCUAGGGAACAAUGCCUGACUGUUCUACAGAAUAUCCUUGUGAAUCCACAUAUCUGACUUAAUUUCAGUGUUCAUUUUCUUUAUGUCUCAGUUGAAGAAGUGCUGAAUCCUCACAAGCAUAGCUGAAAGCAGUAGGAGUUAUGACUAAAACCAUAGAAAGCAGAGACAUUACAAAGCUGUUCAGUGUGUGACCAUUGUGUACUGUACGCUUGAAACUUAAAUACAGCUUUUAUUUGUACUUAUAAAGGCUUUUUUCCCUUUAAUAAAUGUGGUAAUGAACACAUAAUAUAAUUAGUACAGGGUCCCAGUGACCUGGGGCUCAGGCAUUUUACUCAUUGUGUAAAAUGUGAUGAAAUCGGUAUAUACAGACGUAAGGUAAAAUGCUGUGUCUAAAAUCUCAGUAGAAAAGAGUAAAUCAAAUGCCAUCUGCCCUACAUUUAUGUUGGGUUAGGGACUUACAUGCUAUUAUUUUAUUGCCUUGGCUGUGAUUGUAUCUUGUGGAGUUGCCAUCUAGAUAGAGUUUGAAGGAUGCCCAUGCUGAGACCCAAGGUGGGUACCAGCUACUGCUGUGCUGGCCCAGCAGGUGGCAGAGGAAGCAUGCUUUGCACCAGCAGCCCUAUUUCUCAAUGAUCAUGUCACUGUAAAAUGACUUUAAAAAAACAAAAA